rnacentral:rRNA from 1 species
UACGUAGGGUGCGAGCGUUGUCCGGAAUUACUGGGCGUAAAGAGCUCGUAGGCGGUUUGUCGCGUCGUCCGUGAAAACUUGGGGCUCAACCCCAAGCUUGCGGGCGAUACGGGCAGACUUGAGUACUGCAGGGGAGACUGGAAUUCCUGGUGUAGCGGUGAAAUGCGCAGAUAUCAGGAGGAACACCGGUGGCGAAGGCGGGUCUCUGGGCAGUAACUGACGCUGAGGAGCGAAAGCGUGGGUGCAAACAGG